rnacentral:rRNA from 1 species
AUGCUGGAGGUAUCAGAAGUGCGAAUGCUGACAUAAGUAACGAUAAAGCGGGUGAAAAGCCCGCUCGCCGGAAGACCAAGGGUUCCUGUCCAACGUUAAUCGGGGCAGGGUGAGUCGACCCCUAAGGCGAGGCCGAAAGGCGUAGUCGAUGGGAAACGGGUUAAUAUUCCCGUACUUGGUGUUACUGCGAAGGGGGGACGGAGAAGGCUAUGUUGGCCGGGCGACGGUUGUCCCGGUUUAAGCGUGUAGGCUGGUUUUCCAGGCAAAUCCGGAAAAUCAAGGCUGAGGCGUGAUGACGAGGCACUACGGUGCUGAAGCAACAAAUGCCCUGCUUCCAGGAAAAGCCUCUAAGCAUCAGGUAACAUCAAAUCGUACCCCAAACCGACACAGGUGGUCAGGUAGAGAAUACCAAGGCGCUUGAGAGAACUCGGGUGAAGGAACUAGGCAAAAUGGUGCCGUAACUUCGGGAGAAGGCACGCUGACACGUAGGUGAAGUGAUUUACUCAUGGAGCUGAAGUCAGUCGAAGAUACCAGCUGGCUGCAACUGUUUAUUAAAAACACAGCACUGUGCAAACACGAAAGUGGACGUAUACGGUGUGACGCCUGCCCGGUGCCGGAAGGUUAAUUGAUGGGGUCAGCGCAAGCGAAGCUCCUGAUCGAAGCCCCGGUAAACGGCGGCCGUAACUAUAACGGUCCUAAGGUAGCGAAAUUCCUUGUCGGGUAAGUUCCGACCUGCACGAAUGGCGUAAUGAUGGCCAGGCUGUCUCCACCCGAGACUCAGUGAAAUUGAACUCGCUGUGAAGAUGCAGUGUACCCGCGGCAAGACGGAAAGACCCCGUGAACCUUUACUAUAGCUUGACACUGAACAUUGAGCCUUGAUGUGUAGGAUAGGUGGGAGGCUUUGAAGYGUGGACGCCAGUCUGCRUGGAGCCGACCUUGAAAUACCACCCUUUAAUGUUUGAUGUUCUAACGUGGACCCGURAUCCGGGUUGCGGACAGUGUCUGGUGGGUAGUUUGACUGGGGCGGUCUCCUCCUAAAGAGUAACGGAGGAGCACGAAGGUUGGCUAAUCCUGGUCGGACAUCAGGAGGUUAGUGCAAUGGCAUAAGCCAGCUUGACUGCGAGCGUGACGGCGCGAGCAGGUGCGAAAGCAGGUCAUAGUGAUCCGGUGGUUCUGAAUGGAAGGGCCAUCGCUCAACGGAUAAAAGGUACUCCGGGGAUAACAGGCUGAUACCGCCCAAGAGUUCAUAUCGACGGCGGUGUUUGGCACCUCGAUGUCGGCUCAUCACAUCCUGGGGCUGAAGUAGGUCCCAAGGGUAUGGCUGUUCGCCAUUUAAAGUGGUACGCGAGCUGGGUUUAGAACGUCGUGAGACAGUUCGGUCCCUAUCUGCCGUGGGCGCUGGAGAACUGAGGGGGGCUGCUCCUAGUACGAGAGGACCGGAGUGGACGCAUCACUGGUGUUCGGGUUGUCAUGCCAAUGGCACUGCCCGGUAGCUAAAUGCGGAAGAGAUAAGUGCUGAAAGCAUCUAAGCACGAAACUUGCCCCGAGAUGAGUUCUCCCUGAGACUUAGAGUCUCCUGAAGGAACGUUGAAGACGACGACGUUGAUAGGCCGGGUGUGUAAGCGCAGCGAUGCGUUGAGCUAACCGGUACUAAUGAACCGUGAGGCUUAACCUUACAACGCCGAAG